UACAGAGGGUGCGAGCGUUAAUCGGAUUUACUGGGCGUAAAGCGUGCGUAGGCGGCUUUUUAAGUCGGAUGUGAAAUCCCCGAGCUUAACUUGGGAAUUGCAUUCGAUACUGGGAAGCUAGAGUCUUGUAGAGGGUGGUAGAAUUCCAGGUGUAGCGGUGAAAUGCGUAGAGAUCUGGAGGAAUACCGAUGGCGAAGGCAGCCACCUGGACUAAUACUGACGCUGAGGUGCGAAAGCGUGGGGAGCAAACAGG
rnacentral:rRNA from 1 species